UUUAAGCGCAAACAUGAAUUUUCGUGUCCAAUUUUGAUCGUUCGUUUUAUUUGAUAUUUUUUUAUAAUUAGUAUUUUUGUUGUUAUUAGAUGAUAAAACAUGAAUAGUACUUUAUGCAUGACUUUUUUUUAAUUGUUCUUCUAAAAAAUCAAAUAAGAUGGACGAUUAAAGUUGAACAGAAGAGUCAUGGUUGCGCUUAAA
rfam:Oryza sativa Japonica Group DNA, chromosome 11, cultivar: Nipponbare, complete sequence.